rnacentral:rRNA from 1 species
GAUGAACGCUGACAGAAUGCUUAACACAUGCAAGUCGAUGGGGAAGUGGUGCUUGCACCCUGGCCACCAUGGCGGACGGGUGAGUAACGCGUAAGGGACUUACCUGCAGGACUGGGAUAACAGGGGGAAACUCCUGACAAGACCGGAUAAUGUCAUGGAGCUGCAUGGCUUUAUGAUGAAAGGAGACGCCUGCGGAGAGCCUUGCGUCCUAUUAGCUAGUUGGUGAGGUAAUGGCUCACCAAGGCGAAGAUAGGUAGCCGGCCUGAGAGGGUGGACGGCCACAAGGGGACUGAGAUACGGCCCUUACUCCUACGGGAGGCAGCAGUGGGGAAUAUUGGACAAUGGGGGCAACCCUGAUCCAGCAAUUCUGUGUGCACGAAGAAGGUUUUCGGAUUGUAAAGUGCUUUCAGCAGGGAAGAAGUAAGUGACGGUACCUGCAGAAGAAGCGACGGCUAAAUACGUG